rnacentral:rRNA from 1 species
GACGAACGCUGGCGGCGUGCUUAACACAUGCAAGUCGAACGGAAAGGCCCUGCUUGCAGGGUCCUCGAGUGGCGAACGGGUGAGUAACACGUGGGUGAUCUGCCCUGCACUUCGGGAUAAGCCUGGGAAACUGGGUCUAAUACCGGAAAGGAGCCAUUUUUAGUGUGAUGGUUGGAAAGUUUUUUCGGUGUGGGAUGAGCUCGCGGCCUAUCAGCUUGUUGGUGGGGUAAUGGCCUACCAAGGCGGCGACGGGUAGCUGGCCUGGGAGGGUGGACGGCCACCUUGGGACUGAGAGACGGCCCAGACGCCGACGGGAGGCAGCAGGGGGGAAUAUUGCACAAGGGGCGCAGGCCUGGUGCAGCGACGCCGCGUGGGGGAUGACGGCCUUCGGGUUGUAGACUCCUUUCGCUAGGGACGAAGCUUUUUGUGACGGUACCUAGAGAAGAAGCACCGGCUAACUACGUG